rnacentral:rRNA from 1 species
AACGAACGCUGGCGGCAGGCUUAACACAUGCAAGUCGAGCGCGUAGCAAUACGAGCGGCAGACGGGUGAGUAACACGUGGGAAUCUACCCAUCCCUGCGGAACAACUCCGGGAAACUGGAGCUAAUACCGCAUACGCCCUACGGGGGAAAGAUUUAUCGGGGAUGGAUGAGCCCGCGUUGGAUUAGCUAAUUGGUGGGGUAAAGGCCUACCAAGGCGACGAUCCAUAGCUGGUCUGAGAGGAUGAUCAGCCACAUUGGGACUGAGACACGGCCCAAACUCCUACGGGAGGCAGCAGUGGGGAAUAUUGGACAAUGGGCGCAAGCCUGAUCCAGCCAUGCCGCGUGAGUGAUGAAGGCCUUAGGGUUGUAAAGCUCUUUCACCGAUGAAGAUAAUGACGGUAGUCGGAGAAGAAGCCCCGGCUAACUUCGUGCCAGCCGCCGCAGUAAGAC